rnacentral:rRNA from 1 species
AUGGCAGAGGUGCGAAAUUGGUCGCUAUGUUUUGAGUAUGUACCGAACGGAAGCCUCGACAAGUAUAUUACUGAUGCAUCUCGUGGACUUGCAUGGAGGGAGCGCUACAAGAUAAUCAAGGGAAUAUGCAUGGGCUUACUUCAUCUUCAUGAGAAACACAUUCUUCACUUGGAUCUGAAGCCUGGUAAUAUAUUGAUGGAUGAUCACAUGGUACCCAAAAUUGCUGAUUUUGGUCUAUCAAGGUGCCUUGAUACAGAACAAACCCAGACUUAUACUUCAAACCCAUGUGGAUCGAGCGGAUAUUUGGCACCAGAAUCCUUUGCAGGGAAACUCACAUUCGCUUCAGACAUAUACAGUCUUGGCAUUAUCAUCUUGGAAAUAUUGGCAGGGAAGAAGGGGUGUCCAGAAGACGAGGUUGUAAGAACAAUUUAA